GAUGAACGCUGGCGGCGUGCCUAAUACAUGCAAGUCGAGCGAACAGAUAAGGAGCUUGCUCCUUUGAAGUUAGCGGCGGACGGGUGAGUGACACGUGGGUAACCUACCUAUAAGACUGGGAUAACUUCGGGAAACCGGAGCUAAUACCGGAUAACAUUUAGAACCGCAUGGUCCUAAAGUGAAAGAUGGUUUUGCUAUCACUUAUAGAUGGACCCGCGCCGUAUUAGCUAGUUGGUAAGGUAACGGCUUACCAAGGCGACGAUACGUAGCCGACCUGAGAGGGUGAUCGGCCACACUGGAACUGAGACACGGUCCAGACUCCUACGGGAGGCAGCAGUAGGGAAUCUUCCGCAAUGGGCGAAAGCCUGACGGAGCAACGCCGCGUGAGUGAUGAAGGGUUUCGGCUCGUAAAACUCUGUUAUUAGGGAAGAACAAAUGUGUAAGUAACUGUGCACAUCUUGACGGUACCUAAUCAGAAAGCCACGGCUAACUACGUGCCAGCAGCCGCGGUAAUACGUAGGUGGCAAGCGUUAUCCGGAAUUAUUGGGCGUAAAGCGCGCGUAGGCGGUUUCUUAAGUCUGAUGUGAAAGCCCACGGCUCAACCGUGGAGGGUCAUUGGAAACUGGGAAACUUGAGUGCAGAAGAGGAAAGUGGAAUUCCAUGUGUAGCGGUGAAAUGCGCAGAGAUAUGGAGGAACACCAGUGGCGAAGGCGACUUUCUGGUCUGUAACUGACGCUGAUGUGCGAAAGCGUGGGGAUCAAACAGGAUUAGAUACCCUGGUAGUCCACGCCGUAAACGAUGAGUGCUAAGUGUUAGGGGGUUUCCGCCCCUUAGUGCUGCAGCUAACGCAUUAAGCACUCCGCCUGGGGAGUACGACCGCAAGGUUGAAACUCAAAGGAAUUGACGGGAACCCGCACAAGCGGUGGAGCAUGUGGUUUAAUUCGAAGCAACGCGAAGAACCUUACCAAAUCUUGACAUCCUUUGAAAACUCUAGAGAUAGAGCCUUCCCCUUCGGGGGACAAAGUGACAGGUGGUGCAUGGUUGUCGUCAGCUCGUGUCGUGAGAUGUUGGGUUAAGUCCCGCAACGAGCGCAACCCUUAAGCUUAGUUGCCAUCAUUAAGUUGGGCACUCUAGGUUGACUGCCGGUGACAAACCGGAGGAAGGUGGGGAUGACGUCAAAUCAUCAUGCCCCUUAUGAUUUGGGCUACACACGUGCUACAAUGGACAAUACAAAGGGCAGCUAAACCGCGAGGUCAUGCAAAUCCCAUAAAGUUGUUCUCAGUUCGGAUUGUAGUCUGCAACUCGACUACAUGAAGCUGGAAUCGCUAGUAAUCGUAGAUCAGCAUGCUACGGUGAAUACGUUCCCGGGUCU
rnacentral:rRNA from 1 species